rnacentral:rRNA from 1 species
GACGAACGCUGGCGGCGUGCUUAACACAUGCAAGUCGAACGAAGUGGCGCACGGGUGAGUAACGCGUAAUCAACCUGCCCUUCAGGGGGGGAUAACAGUUGGAAACGACUGCUAAUAUCGUAUACUGAAGGGGGGGGAUGCGUCUGAUUGGCUAGUUGGAGGGGUAACGGCCCACCAAGGCGAUGAUCAGUAGCCGGUCUGGGAGGAUGGACGGCCACAUUGGGACUGGGACACGGCCCAGACUCCUACGGGAGGCAGCAGUGGGGGAUCUUCCGCAAUGGACGAAAGUCUGACGGAGCAACGCCGCGUGAGUGAUGACGGCCUUCGGGUUGUAAAGCUCUGUUAAUCGGGACGCGGUACCGGAAUAGAAAGCCACGGCUAACUACGUGCCAGCAGCCGCGGUAAUUC